GAUGAACGCUGGCGGCGUGCUUAACACAUGCAAGUCGAACGAACCUUCGGGUUAGUGGCGGACGGGUGAGUAACGCGUGAGAAUCUGCCCUCAGGAGGGGGAUAACGGCUGGAAACGGCCGCUAAUACCCCAUAUGCCGAGAGGUGAAACGAAUUUCGCCUGAGGAUGAGCUCGCGUCUGAUUAGCUAGUUGGUGGGGUAAGAGCCUACCAAGGCAUCGAUCAGUAGCUGGUCUGAGAGGAUGAUCAGCCACACUGGGACUGAGACACGGCCCAGACUCCUACGGGAGGCAGCAGUGGGGAAUUUUCCGCAAUGGGCGCAAGCCUGACGGAGCAACGCCGCGUGAGGGAUGAAGGCCUCUGGGCUGUAAACCUCUUUUAUCAAGGAAGAAGAUCUGACGGUACUUGAUGAAUAAGCCACGGCUAAUUCCGUGCCAGCAGCCGCGGUAAUACGGGAGUGGCAAGCGUUAUCCGGAAUUAUUGGGCGUAAAGCGUCCGCAGGCGGUCUUGUAAGUCUGUCGUUAAAGCGUGGAGCUUAACUCCAUUUGAGCGAUGGAAACUGUAAGACUAGAGUGUGGUAGGGGCAGAGGGAAUUCCCGGUGUAGCGGUGAAAUGCGUAGAUAUCGGGAAGAACACCAGUGGCGAAGGCGCUCUGCUGGGCCAUAACUGACGCUCAUGGACGAAAGCCAGGGGAGCGAAAGGGAUUAGAUACCCCUGUAGUCCUGGCCGUAAACGAUGAACACUAGGUGUCGGGGGAAUCGACCCCCUCGGUGUCGUAGCCAACGCGUUAAGUGUUCCGCCUGGGGAGUACGCACGCAAGUGUGAAACUCAAAGGAAUUGACGGGGGCCCGCACAAGCGGUGGAGUAUGUGGUUUAAUUCGAUGCAACGCGAAGAUCCUUACCAGGGUUUGACAUCCUGCGAAUCUCUNGGAAACGAGAGAGUGCCUUCGGGAACGCAGUGACAGGUGGUGCAUGGCUGUCGUCAGCUCGUGUCGUGAGAUGUUGGGUUAAGACCCGCAACGAGCGCAACCCACGUCGUUAGUUGCCAGCAUUAAGUUGGGCACUCUAGCGAGACCGCCGGUGAUAAACCGGAGGAAGGUGUGGAUGACGUCAAGUCAUCAUGCCCCUUACAUCCUGGGCUACACACGUACUACAAUGCUACGGACAAAGGGCAGCAAACUCGCGAGAGCUAGCAAAUCCCAUAAACCGUGGCUCAGUUCAGAUCGUAGGCUGCAACUCGCCUACGUGAAGGAGGAAUCGCUAGUAAUCGCAGGUCAGCAUACUGCGGUGAAUACGUUCCCGGGCCUUGUACACACCGCCCGUCACACCAUGGAAGUUGGCCACGCCCGAAGCCGUUACUCCAACCCUUGUGGAGGAGGAUGUCGAAGGUGGGGCUGAUGACUGGGGUGAAGUCGUAACAAGGUAGCCGUACCGGAAGGUGCGGCUGGAUCACCUCCUAA
rnacentral:rRNA from 1 species